rnacentral:rRNA from 1 species
ACUCAAAUGAAUUGACGGGGACUUGCACAAGCAGUGGAUUAUGUGGUUUAAUUCGAUGAUAAACGAAGAACCUCACCAGGGUUUGAAACCUACGUGAAAGCUCUAAGAAACUAGAGCCCUCGCAAGACUAGUAGGCAGGUGCUGCAUGGUCGUCGUCAGUUCGUGGUUUGAAUUGUUCCCUUCAGUGGGGUAACGAACGCAACCCUCGUCGUGUGUUACAAGUGUCACACGAGACUGCCCCCGCUUUAGCGCAGAAUAUAUUUUAAAUAUAUUGUGAAUUAAAGUGGGGGAGGAAGGCGAGGAUGACGCCAGAUCAGCAUGGCCCUCUGACAUCCUGGGCUACACACAUAAUACAAUCGCGCCUACAACGCGACGCAAUGGGGCGACCCGGAGCAAAUCGUAAGAAAAGGCGCGCCAGUUCGGAUUGAAGUCUGCAACUCGACUUCAUGAAGCCGGAAUUGCUAGUAAUCGCGGGUCAGACAUACCGCGGUGAAUACGUUCUCAAGUCUUGUACACACCGCCCGU